CAACCCUCAAGCGUGGCUUGGCGUUGGGCGCGGCCUGUGCCUGCCCCAAAGACAGUGGCGGCGCCGUCGAGCCCCGAGCGUGGUACGUCUUCCGCUCCGGGGCUCUACGGUGGCCUGCCAGCACCUCAGCUCCUAC
rnacentral:misc_RNA from 1 species